rnacentral:lncRNA from 1 species
UGAUAAGGCUAGCAUCUGAACUAGCUGGGAGGUAUGAGACAAAGACAGUUGGAGACCAUUACUUCAAACAUACUGAUUUCAAAGUUCUGGCUCUAGUAAGAGCCACGACCUCCGACUCAGUGAUUUAUAAACCUGGAGACUCAACAGAAGCUUUCACAAACACAGAUUCUAGAACCUUAUGCUACAUUCACUGAAGGAGGCAUUUCAGAGUGGGGCCCAGGAACCUGCAUUUUAAGACCACUUCCCACGUGAUCUCAAGGCAGCUGAUCCCUGGGCUGCAGUUGGCCUCAUGUCAUAACUCCUGAAAUGUAAGGACUAAGAGCACCCGAGACAUGACAGUGCCACCUACCUACAGAUGACGACAUCAAGGCCCUGAGAUGAAAGGAACUUGACCCAGGUCAGGCAGAGGACCCUGAAUGUCCUCUGAGGCCAUGGGAAGAGCAUUAUACUUGGAGCCAGAGAAGUGGAUUCAGGCCCAGGCCCAGUGACCUUACCAUCGGAGAGCUCCUGAGAAAGUCCCUUUACCUCUCCGAGCUUCAAUUUCCUCACUGGUAAAAUGGAAACAUAAGGUCCUCCUACUAUUGCUAUUUUACUGGAUAAAAUCAUACACAUAAAACACAUGGCAAGACCUUAAUACUGGUUACUGUUUGGGUUUGUAUGACCAUUAACCCAGAUUUCCUGGUUCCUAGUACGUCUUUCUCCAACAGUGUUCAUGAGGAUUUUGAAGUUUCGUGUCUCCAAGGUCAAAUGCAGGUACUCCAGGAGGAAAGAACAAUGUUAAAUGUUGCGACCAAUGCUAUAAGGAGCUUGAGAGUCAAGCAGCAGGUGCCGAGUAGAGCACAGUCAAGUGAACACAACCCGGAAGACGCCCUACCCUCAUGGAGACUUCCUUCUAAUGUAGAAGUACAGAUUACACGCAAAUAAAUAGCCAUGCAAGAUCACCUAGAUGGUAUCAUCUCUGAGGAACAGGUACAGACACCAAACCUGUUGGUGCCUUGACCUUGGACUUUCCAGCUUCCAGAACUGUAAGAAUAAGUUUCUAUUGUUUAUCAAUUACCCGAUCUGUGGCAUUUUGUUAUAGCACCACAAAUGAACUAAGAUAGCUUUCA